CUCACCUGAAUGGAGCAGCCUCUACCUGAAGUGCGGGAAGAGGUGGACUAAUGUAGUGUUAGGAGUCUUGCCCAGGGACUCUUAUUGGUGUAGCACAGCAUUCCUUCACCCAGACCAGGAAUUGAACCCCAGUCUCCCGCAUGAUGUGAUCGCUCACUAGCAGAUAUUGGUGUUAUCCACUGCACCACACCAACUACCAUUAGAGUGAUGAAGGUCCUCACGUUCUGCUGUCUGAUGUUCAGGAUUAAUCAGAAGCUCUGCAGUCAUGGUCAUUCUGCAGCAGGUAGAGCUUCUGUCUAAAUCACUUUACACACAUUUUACAGCAGUUAUAAUCAGCAGCACAUCUUACGUGUAAACUCAGCGCUCCAGAAAUAGAGCAGCUUCAACAAAGAGCAGCCUGAACACUGUUAACCAAUUAGCGCUAAUCUGAUCACAGCCCAGAAUGUGCACUACGCUGCCAUGCUUUAUUCUGUUUAUACUCACAGU
rnacentral:lncRNA from 1 species